AUGACAACACGCUCCCAUAGUUUUCACAAAUCAUUUUCACUCAGAUCAACUACCUCAAUUUUCCAUAUUCUUUUUUUUUUUUUUUUUUUUUUUUUGGCAUUUCUUUCUGGGAUGAGGAAAACUUCAGUCCUGUACCCAUUUUUGUGUUGUAAAGGGAAUCCGGUCAUGAGGGGGUGUCCCCAGGGGGGCAGUGUCUUGGGCUGUGCGCCAGCUCUCUCCCUUGCCACCUGCCAGGGCAUCAAUGGUGGGUACUUGACCCACCCAGACUGCUGCCAGUCUAGACUGCUUACUCUGGAAAAAACCCAGCAGCUGAUCCAAACCCCCUGUCAGGCCCUGAUUGGCCCCUACACUGUGUAUUCCAGUUUCGAGUUCCAGUGGAUCUGCCAGGGAGUUCAGAACCAGUUAUGUUAUGUGGGACUAUCAGCCAAGCCCACACGGCCUUAGCUGUGUGACUGUGGGCAAAGUCUUUCCCUGCUCUGCGCUCUGAUUUCCUGAUCUGUAAAAGGGGACAGCACCUGUUCCCCUGUCUGUCUCUCAGGAUAAGAGAUGAAUUAUGAGAUCAAAUAAGUAGCACAUAUUUGAAAACGAAGAUGAGCUAGUCAUGAGAUAUAUAGCCAUAUCCAUGAGACAGAAAGGAAUUAUUUUUUACACUAAACAUUUAAAAUUUCUUUCUUUUUUUAAAUUUUUGCAUUUAUUUUUUGCUUUUUCAGGGCCUCAUCUGCGGCAUAUGGAGGGUCUUAGGCUAGGGGUCUAAUUGGAGCUAUAGCUGCCAGCCUACGCCAGAGUCACAGCAACACUGGAUCCGAGCCAUGUCUUUGAACUACACCACAGCUCAUGGCAACACCGGAUCUUUAACCCACUGAGCGAGGCCAGGGAUCGAACCCACAACGUCAUGGUUCCUAGUCAGAUUCCUUUCCUCUGUGCGAUGAUGGGAACUCCUAAAAGUUCUUUUCCAUUAUAGGUUAUUACAAGUUAUUGAACUAUUGAGUAUAGUUCUAUGUGCUGUAGAGUAGGUCCUUGUUGGGGAACUGUCAUUUUUAUGAGCUUUGAUAAUGUGCCCAAAGACUUAUGAAGCAUCUGCAGUGAGCAUCUUCAGUUUUGUCACCAGAGCUGAGCCACCUUCGCUUUGGUAACCACGCCCAACUCUCUCUGCAAUUUCCUUCCCAGAAUCAUGGUCCACCUCCCCACCCCACCCCUGUCUCCUCAGUCAUGCAGAUCCAGAGACUCUGCCUAUGCAAAUGAGUGCAUCUCCUUACCCUGGACCACAGUGACUGCUUCACAGAUGUCACAUGACCCAAUCAGGAUCAGUGAGACUCUUCCUAGGACUCAUUUUUUUUUUAACACUUGAACCCCCAACUCAAGUUGAAACAUAAAAGAUGGAGCCAGGAAGUAGAGAGAAACCAAGUCCUGAGUAACCUUUCAACACUGAACCCAGCCAGGCUCAUCAGUGAUAAUGUGAUUUAUAAUUGGAAAUAAAUAUCUGGUCUUUCUCCAUAGGCCCUGGCACAGAGGUUCUAAAACUCUUGGAACUGCCCAAGUGAACAGGGCAAUAAAGGUGUCUUUUGUUAGGUUAGUGAUGUGGCUUUUGGAAGGCACCUGAGAAUGGAGGCUAGUUUCCAGGAGAAUCAAAGAUCAGAGAAUUGGAACUUGCAGUCCAACCUCCCAUGACUUCCCUGGAGGGGAAAGGGGUUGGAGAUGGAGUUCCAUCUCCAAUAGGCAAUGAUUUAAUCCAUCAUGCCUAUGUUCUGAAGCCUCUAUAAAAACCCCUAAAGAUUACAUUCAGAGAGCUUCUGGGUUGAUAAACAUGUGAGCUGGGGAGAGUAGUGGGCUGGGAGGCGCCACCCCCUUUCCCCAUGCCUUGCUCUGUGUGUCUCUUCCAUUUGGCUGCUCCUGAGUUAUAACCUUUUACAAUAAAAUGGUGAUCUAGGAAGUAAACGGUUUCUCCACGUUCUGUGAGCUGCUCUAGCAAAUUAAUCAAACCCGAGGAAAAGGUUAAGUGGAUCUGAUUGAUAGCUCAUUGGUUAGUAGUUCACAGGUAAUGACUUGGAUUUGUAAUUGCUGUCUGAGGUGGAGUGAAGGGCAGUUUUGUAGGACUGAGCCCUUAACCUGUGGGAUCAGGUACCAUCAUUAGGUAGAACUGGAUUAUAGAGCACCCAGCUGGAACCUUGGAGAAUUUCCUUGGCGGUAUAGAGAACACUCUCCUCAACCCCCACCCGCAAACGCACAUUGGACUAAUUAGGUACCGAACCCUUUCACCAUCCCCGGACUUCUCAACUUAAGAUAAGCUCCCCCAAUUCCUUUACUCCCAAAGGCAUCUUGGGUUGGAUUUUCUGUCCCUCGUUACCAAGAGAAUCCUAAUGGAUACAGCAUUAUCUUACUUAAUCUAGUCACCAAGAAGCCCUACUUUACGGAUGAGGAAGAGAAACCGAGAGAGAAGAGCCCUGAUUCUACUGCAGCCAGUGUUUGCGGGAAGACCUAGUUCACUCGGUGUCCUCUGCCCCCUUGUGCCCUCUUCCUGGAAGAAAAACACCGAGAGGAGGAACUUAGUCAAUUUCUGCAGGGCUUAAGGUUGAUGUCAAGAGCCUAGAGGGAUCCAAAUGGUGCAAUAUCUUCUUCCAAGGACUGAUGCUUCGGUGUCCACAUUUUAUUUAGAGUUCUACUCUUUUCUCUGAAGACACAUCUGGUAAAAUGCAAAUAUAUCUCAGGCCUCCGGAGCUUACAACCUGAGCUGCUAUCCGGGGUAAUGGUUUUGUAGGAAAAAUGGCUUUGAGAGGGGUUUAGGGUACCGGGGGCAUGGGGGGGCUGGCAAUGGUGGCUGGCACUCUGGAAGAGGAAGAGGGUAAAGAAAGGGAUAUCCGAGAAUUGGGUACAUUUCAAUUGGUUGAGGGAACAAGUAAGCCAAGUAAGUUUGAUAACAGAAACAUAAUACAAUGUCUGGGAUUUGCUGCCAAGCAGCAGGAAGAUGGGGAAAGUAGGUGGAAAUAUAGGUGAAAUAAAAUUAGCCGUUUGUUGAUCAUUGUUGUUGUUGUUGUUUUUCUUUUUAUUUUUAUGGCUGCACUUGGGACAUGUGGAAGUUCCCGGGCAAGUGGUCGAAUCAGAGCUGCCAGUGUAUACCAUAUUACAGCUGCACCAGAUCUAAGCAGCAUCUGUGACCUAUGAAGGAGCUUGUAGCAAUGCCGGAUCCUUAACCCACUGAGUGAGGCCAGGGAUUGAACCUGCAUCCUCAUGGAUACUAGUCAGAUUCUUAACCCACUGAGCCACAAUGGGAACUCCACGUUGAUCAUUGUUGAAGCUUGGCUGCGGGUGUGUGAGGGUGUAUUCAUGAGCAUAUGUUUGAAAUUUUCCAUAGUAAUAUUUUAACAUGUAAUGAAUAUUGUAAAAAAAGUUUCAUGCUUCAUUCUUUGCAGAGCCCUUGAUGCACCUCACAAAUGAUUCCCCCCCCAUUUUAAAGAUGAUGAAAGGCAGGCUCAGACGGCCAUCAUCAAAAAGUCUACAAACAAUAAUCACUGGAGUGGGUGCGGAGAAAAGGGAGUGCCCUUACGCUGCUGGGGGAAAUGUAAAUCAGUGCAACCACUAUGGAAAACAGUAUGGAGAUUCCUCAAAAAACUAAAAAUAGAAUUACCAUUUGAUCCAGCAAUCCCACUCCUGGGCAUCUAUCCAGAGAAAAACAUGACUCGAAAAGAUUCAUGCAUCCCAAUGUUCACUGCAGCACUAUAUGCAGUAGCCAAGACACAGAAGCAAGCUAAAGGUCCACUGACAGAGGAGUGGACAAAGAAGAUGUGGUAUAGGGAGUUCCCACUGUGGCUCAUCAGAAACAAAUCUAAUAUCCCUGAGGACGCAGGUUUGAUCCCUGGCCUUGCUAAGUGGGUUAAGGAUCUGGCAUUGCCAUGAGCUGUGGCAUAGGCUGCAAAUACAGCUUAGCUCUGGCGUUGCUGUGGCUGUGGUGUUGGCCAGUGGCUACAGCUCUGAUUCAACCCCUAACCUGGGAACCUCCCUAUGCCUUGCGGGGUGGGCCUAAAAAGACCCCCCCCCAAAAAAAAGGAGAAUAAGAUGUACAUAUUACACAAUGGAAUAUUACUCAGCCAUAAAAAGGAAUGAAAUUAUGGUAUUUGCAGCAAUAUGGAUGGAUCUAGAAAUUAUCAUGCUACAUGAAGAUAGACAGUGAGAAACCAA
ensembl:lncRNA